rnacentral:rRNA from 1 species
GAUGAACGCUGGCGGCGUGCUUAACACAUGCAAGUCGAACGGAAAGGCCGAAGCUUGCUUCGGUACUCGAGUGGCGAACGGGUGAGUAACACGUGGGUGAUCUGCCCUGUACUUCGGGAUAAGCUUGGGAAACUGGGUCUAAUACCGGAUAUGACGAUCUCUUGGAUGGGGUUGUGGAAAGCUUUUGCGGUAUGGGAUGAGCUCGCGGCCUAUCAGCUUGUUGGUGGGGUAAUGGCCUACCAAGGCGUCGACGGGUAGCCGGCCUGAGAGGGUGUACGGCCACAUUGGGCCUGAGAUACGGCCCAGACUCCUACGGGAGGCAGCAGUGGGGAAUAUUGCACAAUGGGCGCAAGCCUGAUGCAGCGACGCCGCGUGGGGGAUGACGGCCUUCGGGUUGUAAACUCCUUUCGCAAUCGACGAAGCCUUUUGGUGACGGUAGGUUGAGAAGAAGCACCGGCUAACUACGUG